rnacentral:rRNA from 1 species
UCGUACUCCCCAGGCGGUGUGUUUAUCGGUUUCCCUGCGACACUGAAAAUAAAUUUCCAACGUCUAACACACAUCGUUUACGGCAUGGACUACGAGGGUAUCUAAUCCUCUUCGCUACCCAUGCUUUCGUUCCUCAGUGUCAGUAAUGAUCCAGAAAGCUGCCUUCGCAGUUGGUAUUCUUUCUAAUAUCUACGAAUUUCACCUCUACACUAGAAAUUCUGCUUUCCUCUAUCAUACUCUAGCUGAAAAGUUUUGAUGGCAGUUCCAGAGUUAAGCUCUGGGAUUUCACCACCAACUUUUUCAACCACCUACGAACUCUUUAAGCCCAGUAAUUCCGAACUACGCUAGGUCCCUUCGUAUUACCGCGGCUGCUGGCACGAAGUUAGCCGGACCUUCUUAUUCGGGUACAGUCAUUUUCUUCCCCGACGAAAGAGCUUUACAACCCAAAGGCCUUCUUCACUCACGCGGCAUCGCUGCAUCAGAGUUUCCUCCAUUGUGCAAGAUUCCCCACUGCUGCCUCCCGUAGGAGUUUGGGCCGUGUCUCAGUCCCAAUGUGGCUGAUCAUCCUCUCAAAUCAGCUAUUGAUCAUAGUCUUGGUAGGCCAUUACCCUACCAACAAACUAAUCAAGUGCGGGCUCAUCCAAUGGUGCAUAAAGCUUUCUCCGUAAAGACUUAUCCGGUAUUAGCACAAGUUUCCUCGUGUUAUUCCAGGCCAAAGGGUAGAUACCCACAUGUUACUCACCCGUCUGCCACUAAGUAUUGCUACUUCGUUCGACUUGCAUGUGUUAGGCGUGCCGCCAGCGUACGUUCUGAGCCAGGAUCAAACUCU